GACAACAAAUCAGUGCAAGAAAGUAUGGGAGGCUGAAUCAUAUGUGCAGGGAAUGGAAUGGCUAAAUACAAGUAGACUUGAAAAUUGUAGGAUCCCAGCAGAAGACCAACAUAAAUUAAUNNCACACAAUAGCAUCAGACUUCAUAUCCAGGAUUUACUUUCUGUUGAACGUCUCCAUAACUCUCUAGCUCUUCCAUGUCCUCUAAGCUUCCUAGAAAUAAGGGAAGUCUCUGAUGCAGCAUGACAGGUUGCAAUGAAAGAAUUCUAACUUUACCAUCAGAACCUCUGCCUCCAGCCUGC
rnacentral:misc_RNA from 1 species